rnacentral:lncRNA from 1 species
GGGUACUUAAAACUAGUAGCUAAGGUAUGGUUCUACUUUGCUUGAUAUAGCUUCAUGCCUAUCUCACAUAGUUCCACCGUCCUGAUGGAAAGAAUGAUUUUUUCAUAUGCAAUUAUAAUAGAAAGGUCUAUCUAUGUUAGGAAUAUUAUUCUCAAAGGAAUCCAAGAUUAUGCUAGGAAAAAAGCAGAAAGUGCGUACUUUCCAUCAUUGAUUACUUCACUGUGUUUGGGA